AUGCUGUCAACAUCAACCUGUUCUUAUUCUCAAAGCAACCUACUGAUUCAAAUGUGCUUCAAGAAACUUAUGCUCUACCAUCUUGAAGCUGCUUUAUCUACAAAGACCGUCUUGCUUUUCAACUCAUACAGACUGCUCAGAAGCACAGAAAAUUGGACAUUUUCUGGCCAUAGGGAGGUACAUGUGAGAAUUACUGUCUCCCACCAGUCAAGAGGGAACCAGAGAUCACCUGAGACCUUCAACUUUCUUUUUACCAGACUGAAUUAAAUACAGGAAGGGCUACACCUCUUCCCUGCUUCCAUGGGGUGUCUACCAUACUGCACUGCUGUUGGCAGCAUCUAUGGGUCCUGCAUGCAUUACCUCUGGAAAUUAUGUACUUGCUCACCAAUAUUAAAGCUUAAUCCUUAAAGACUUCUGGCUUCAAAGAGACAAAUAAGAACUUAGAACUUCUCCCUGUUUGACUCCCGGUUUCCCUCCCUGACAAAUAUAAAAUUAUACAUAUAAAGAGAAAAAUUGGCUGAAAAGCUCUGGACUGUCUUUAACUUAAAAAUUACAACCAAAAAAAACCCUGAAAACAAUGGAAAAGGCACUAUAAAAAUGUUCAACAACACACCACUUAGAAGAGAACAUGGUGGAAAAAAACAAAAACAAAAACCCAAGCUUCUGCUAUGUAGAAUUUUGCAAGAUGGCCCACGUACUGGCAAAAUAUCUAUUCACUCUACUUUGCUCCCAAAAUGACAAAUACAAGGUUUACCCAAACCCACAAAUACUUUCUCAGAGCAAAAAGAUCUGAAUUCUGAACAUGUCAGGAGUCCUCUCUUUUCAGUUGCACAUUCUACCUAAAACAGACAUUCUGCAUAGAGAAAAUACCAGUCCACAUGGUUUCUUAUCUUUUAUUAUCUGCAUCAGUUAAGAUUAGGUGUGUCAUUUAAUGUCAUGCACUGAUGGACAGAAGAGAAAGAAUGGGGGAAAAGGGGAUAAAGGAGGGGAAACAGGAACACCUGCGAAAAUCUGUAAUAAAAAUGAUCUUUUCUUAAUUUAAAGGUAAGUU
rnacentral:lncRNA from 1 species